rnacentral:pre_miRNA from 1 species
UUUAAGUGUAUUUGUGGAUUUUCGUACCAAACGUUUGACCAUCCGUCUCAUUUGAUUUUUUAUUAGUAUUUUUAUUGUUAUUAGAUGAUAAAACAUAAAUAAUACUUUAUGCGUGACUUUUUUUAACUUUUUAUAUUUUUUAAAUAAAAUAGAACGUUGGACAUAGAAACCCAC